ensembl:snoRNA
GCAGACUCACUCUGUUCCAUGCUGCCCCAUUCCGGCAUGGAACUUUUAGUGUCUGCUACAUUAACAUGCAGAAUGUAACACGCUAGCUUGCUAUUUAUGGGCCAAGUGCUGGUAUGUUCUGCUACAUCUCA